GUUUUCGACGCGACGAUGCAAAGUGAAACGAAGAAAUAAGAAGAAGAGAAGGUCCCCGGAGAGGUGAAUGAGGAUUUUACCACUAUGGACAUUUUAACAAUAUGCAGAAGAAGACGGGUCUGGAACUAGAAAGCUAGGCUCUGACUGGUCUACUACAGCAAGGAAUGUGCCAGCGGCCAAUCUGAUGAACAUGUGGCAGAAGAUUUGGCAAUGGGUGAAGAAAUACUGAGAUUGAAAUGCAACCACAGGUGGAGGCUUCACCCAAACUUUUCAGACAGACAUGAGAUACAAAGUUACCCAAGUAUAAAUGGUUGAAGGUUUAGGAGAGCCAGACAAGAAGGCAGGAAAUGUGAUGUCAAUUGUAAGUUACUUCAAUAAACAUGAACAGCAGCAGGAGCAACAACAUCAUCAGCAGCCGAAACCACAACUGCAGUAAGAGAUGCAACAACCACACCCACAACAACAAGAGCAGCAGCAAAAACAACAGAAAUUCCAGCAACCACGAUGACAACAGCAGCAGCAACACCAACAACACUAAUGAAUAUUGAAAAACUUGUACAAAAGUCAAUGAGGUCACAGUUUUCAGACAUUAUUGAUUAAAAAAUGCACAAUGAUUUAUUCGGGUUGAAGAAAAUAACAUGAAUGUUUGAAAAAAUGUGUACAUUUGAAGGUGUUUCCUAUCAAAUUGUAUCGAUUAAUUUAUGAAAAUAUAGUUUUAAAGAUAAAAAUAUGAUGCUUGAAAUGUCUACUUUUUAUUUGUCAUUGACUAAAAAUGAAUACAUUUUCUUUGAAUUUUCUUAAUGAAAUGAAAAAUAAGCAAUUUAUUAAAAUGUUAUACUCAAAAUCAACUGAAAUUGAUCGAUUUUAGCUGCUAAAGUCCAUAAAAGGCUGAUUAGUCGGUGAAAAUAAGUUUUGUCGGUAGGUGAAGGCUACCGACAAAAUUAGUCGGUGGUUUCCAAUAAUUUGUCAGAGAAAAUCACCGACAAAUUUUCAUGAAAUGGAAUUUAGUCGGUGAUGGCAAAAUUGUCGGUGAAAAUGAAAUUAGUCGGUGAAAAUCACAAUUAGUCGGAGAAAACCACCGACUAAUUGUUUGAUGAAACGCCCCCCAGGAGUACAACUCUUAUAAGAAAACAAAGGGAAUUUCAGUUUAUGCUUUUACAUGGAGCAAUAUAUACAAAAGAGCAUUUGAUGAGAUUUGGUUUCGUGGGAGAUAAUUAUUGUUCGUUUGGUUGUACAAAAACUGAAUCGUACUUUCAUAUACUCAUGGAUUGCAUAAAAGUUAAACCUCUUUGGCAAUUUUGUAUUGAUCAUUUUUGUUUAGCUGAAUUAAGAACUUUGAAUUGGAGGGAAAUAUUCUUAGGGUUACCUGGAAAUUCUUGUAGAAUUAAAUGUGUCAAUUCUGUUAUUCUUUUUAUUAAAUAUGCAAUUUUUAAUUCCAGAGCUGAAGGCCGGGUACCGUCAUUUAUUAAAAUACACAAAUAUAUAACGGGUUGUAUAGAAGAAGAAAGACGCCUGGCAACGAAGUCAGGCAAGUUAAGUUUACAUUUGCAGAAAUGGGAUGAACUGAAGGUGAAAAGGGAUUUGAAUGUGAACAGGUGGGAUGUGUCUAGUGUGGUGCGAGUGUGAAUCCUGGUGUGUAUGUUGAUGUUUUUUUUUUUCUUUUUACUAGUUCUUUUCAAUUUCCCCUUCUCUUGUAUCAAUAUCAUUUGCAGGUUUUUUUUCUUUCUGUAUCCUAUUGCGCCAAAAUGUUAAACGUUCAUUAUGCAGAUUUGUAUAUAUUAUGUUUGUUUACGUAUGCGUGGUAUGUGCAUGUGUGUAUGGGUGUUAAGGUGGGUGUGUGUAUGUGUGUAUAAUUAUGUAAAGUUAUGUUGAAGCUUGAUUUAAAAUGGGAUGCAAUGAUAAUACAUUUAGGUUGAUUUCUGUUCUGUGCAAAUCAUUUAUAUAGCCAUUUAACAUUAAUUAUUAUUGAAAUACAUAGAGGGUUGGGGACUCAGUUGAGUUAUUUUUUUUUCAGAUAUAAAAGUAUAAUUUUAAGGAGUUUCAUUCCGUCCUUAUUUGCUUCAGUUCUUGGUAAAUAUAUAUGUACUUUUUUGCAUAUCCUUGUUGAUAUGAAAUGAAGAUUUGUAUUUUGUUUUGUAUUUAUCUGCCGUUUAUGUAAUUCAUUUGAAUGAAAUCCUUAAUAAAAACAUAUUGAAAAAAAAAGUGUGUGUUUGAGGGUGGAUGGGUGUGUGAAGGUGGGUGUGGAUGAGUGAGUGUUUGAAAAUGGAAGAGACAAGUUAGCAACCAGUAUAUUCACCGGGCAGUAAAAUGAGAAUAUCAUAUAUCAAUGUUCAACGUAUUGUGAUUAGACAGUAUAAAGAUUAAAGUGGUUUAUUGAAAACAAGCUUCUGUUCGCAAGGACUUUCACCUGUCUCAUAGAAUUAAGGUGAUCUGCUUUACUUUAUUAUUUGUAUCGCUCAUCACUAGCGUAUGGGCCCC